rnacentral:rRNA from 1 species
UACAGAGGUCUCAAGCGUUGUUCGGAUUCAUUGGGCGUAAAGGGUGCGUAGGCGGCGCGGUAAGUCGGGUGUGAAAUCUCGGAGCUUAACUCCGAAACUGCAUUCGAUACUGCCGUGCUUGAGGACUGGAGAGGAGACUGGAAUUUACGGUGUAGCGGUGAAAUGCGUAGAUAUCCGGAGGAAUACCAAAGGCGAAGGCAGUGUCCUGGCUGGCAUCUGACGCUGAGGCGCGAAAGCUAGGGGAGCGAACAGG